UAGGGAAUCUUCGGCAAUGGGGGGAACCCUGACCGAGCAACGCCGCGUGAGUGAAGAAGGUUUUCGGAUCGUAAAGCUCUGUUGUUAAGGAAGAACGAAUGUGAGAAUGGAAAGUUCAUGCUGUGACGGUACUUAACCAGAAAGGGACGGCUAACUACGUGCCAGCAGCCGCGGUAAUACGUAGGUCCCGAGCGUUGUCCGGAUUUAUUGGGCGUAAAGCGAGCGCAGGCGGUUAGAAAAGUCUGAAGUGAAAGGCAGUGGCUCAACCAUUGUAGGCUUUGGAAACUGUUUAACUUGAGUGCAGAAGGGGAGAGUGGAAUUCCAUGUGUAGCGGUGAAAUGCGUAGAUAUAUGGAGGAACACCGGUGGCGAAAGCGGCUCUCUGGUCUGUAACUGACGCUGAGGCUCGAAAGCGUGGGGAGCGAACAGG
rnacentral:rRNA from 1 species